rnacentral:rRNA from 1 species
GACGAACGCUGGCGGCGUGCUUAACACAUGCAAGUCGAACGGAAAGGCCCUGCUUUUGUGGGGUGAUCGAGUGGCGAACGGGUGAGUAACACGUGAGUAACCUGACCUUGAUUUUGGGAUAACUUCAGGAAACUGGGGCUAAUACCGGAUAGGAGCUCCUGCAGCAUGGUGGGGGUUGGAAAGUUUCGGCGGUUGGGGAUGGACUCGCGGCUUAUCAGCUUGUUGGUGGGGUAGUGGCUUACCAAGGCUUUGACGGGUAGCCGGCCUGAGAGGGUGACCGGCCACAUUGGUACUGAGAGACGCCCCAGACUCCUACGGGGGGCAGCAGUGGGGAAUAUUGCACAAUGAUCGGAAGCCUGAUGCAGCAACGCCGCGUGCGGAAUGACGGCCUUCGGGUUGUAAACCGCUUUCGCCUGUGACGAAGCGUUAGUGACGGUAAUGGGUAAAGAAGCACCGGCUAACUACGUG